rnacentral:rRNA from 1 species
UAAGCGGAGGAAAAGAAACUAACAAGGAUUCCCCUAGUAACGGCGAGUGAAGCGGGAUGAGCUCAAAUUUAAAAUCUGGCGGUCUCAGAUCGUCCGAGUUGUAGUCUAGAGAAGCGUUUUCCGUGCUGGCCUGUGUACAAGUCCGUUGGAACACGGCGUCAUAGAGGGUGAGAAUCCCGUCCUUGACACAGAUCUCCAGUGCUUUGUGAUGCGCUCUCAAAGAGUCGAGUUGUUUGGGAAUGCAGCUCAAAAUGGGUGGUAAAUUCCAUCUAAAGCUAAAUAUUGGCGAGAAACCGAUAGCGAACAAGUACCGUGAGGGAAAGAUGAAAAGCACUUUGGAAAGAGAGUUAAACAGUACGUGAAAUUGUUGAAAGGGAAACGAUUGAAGUCAGUCAUGCUUUCCGAGACUCAGCCGGUUCUGCCGGUGUACUUCUCGGUUUGCAGGCCAGCAUCAGUUUUGGGCGGUGGAAAAGGUUGGCGGGAAUGUGGCAUCCUCGGAUGUGUUAUAGCCCGCUUUCGAAUACAUCGCCCGGGACUGAGGAACGCAGCACGCCUCUUGUAGGUCGGUCUUCGGACACGUCCGUGCUUAGGAUGCUGGCAUAAUGGCUUUAAACGACCCGUCUUGAAACACG